GCCCCGCUAGUUAAACGGUAUAACGGAACCAUGGUAAGGUUCAAUCCGUAGUUCGACUCUGCGGCGGGGCACCA
rnacentral:tRNA from 1 species